rnacentral:ncRNA from 1 species
AAAAAAGCGAGGAAAGGCCGAAGUAUGGGCGUACGCUGCUCGAAGAGAGCCGGUGGUUGGUGCGAACCGGUACACGUACGUUAGCCAGAAUUACAGCCUGGAGCUAUUCUUUGUUUCGGCAAAGAACGGAGAAGCCGUUAUCGAAUGAGUGGGAGGCACGAAUGCCUUCAACAAGGGUGGUACCGCGACAAGUUCGUCCCUUAU